rnacentral:rRNA from 1 species
GAUGAACGCUGGCGGCGUGCCUAAUACAUGCAAGUCGAGCGAACAGACGAGGAGCUUGCUCCUCUGACGUUAGCGGCGGACGGGUGAGUAACACGUGGAUAACCUACCUAUAAGACGGGGAUAACUUCGGGAAACCGGAGCUAAUACCGGAUAAUAUAUUGAACCGCAUGGUUCAAUAGUGAAAGACGGUUUUGCUGUCACUUAUAGAUGGAUCCGCGCCGCAUUAGCUAGUUGGUAAGGUAACGGCUUACCAAGGCAACGAUGCGUAGCCGACCUGAGAGGGUGAUCGGCCACACUGGAACUGAGACACGGUCCAGACUCCUACGGGAGGCAGCAGUAGGGAAUCUUGCGCAAUGGGCGAAAGCCUGACGGAGCAACGCCGCGUGAGUGAUGAAGGUCUUCGGAUCGUAAAACUCUGUUAUUAGGGAAGAACAAAUGUGUAAGUAACUAUGCCCGUCUUGACGGUACCUAAUCAGAAAGCCCCGGCUAACUCCGUG